rnacentral:rRNA from 1 species
AAUCAACGCUGGCGGCGUGCCUCAGACAUGCAAGUCGAACGAUUAAAGCUCUCUUCGGAGAGUGCAUAGAGUGGCGCACGGGUGAGUAACACGUAAGUAAUCUACCUUCGAGUGGGGAAUAACGUCCGGAAACGGGCGCUAAUACCGCAUAAUGCAGCGGCAUCGCAAGAUGACAGUUGUUAAAGGAGCAAUCCGCUUGAAGAGGAGCUUGCGGCAGAUUAGCUAGUUGGUAGGGUAAUGGCCUACCAAGGCUACGAUCUGUAACCGGUCUUAGAGGACGGUCGGUCACACUGACACUGAAUAACGGGUCAGACUCCUACGGGAGGCAGCAGUCGGGAAUUUUGGGCAAUGGGGGAAACCCUGACCCAGCAACGCCGCGUGAAGGAUGAAGUAUUCGGUAUGUAAACUUCGAAAGAAUAGGAAGAAUUAAUGACGGUACUAUUUAUAAGGUCCGGCUAACUACGUGCCAGCAGCCGCGGUAAACUCGUACUCUA